AUUGAACGCUGGCGGCAGGCUUAACACAUGCAAGUCGAGCGGGGUGAUGGUGCUUGCACUAUCACUUAGCGGCGGACGGGUGAGUAAUGCUUAGGAAUCUGCCUAUUAGUGGGGGACAACAUCUCGAAAGGGAUGCUAAUACCGCAUACGUCCUACGGGAGAAAGCAGGGGAUCACUUGUGACCUUGCGCUAAUAGAUGAGCCUAAGUCGGAUUAGCUAGUUGGUGGGGUAAAGGCCUACCAAGGCGACGAUCUGUAGCGGGACUGAGAGGAUGAACCGCACCGCUGGGACUGAGACACGGCCCAGACUCCUACGGGAGGCAGCAGUGGGGAAUAUUGGACAAUGGGGGGAACCCUGAGCUAGCCAUGCCGCGUGUGUGAAGAAGGCCUUAUGGUUGUAAAGCACUUUAAGCGAGGAGGAGGCUCUUUUGGUUAAUACCCAAGAUGAGUGGACGUUACUCGCAGAAUAAGCACCGGCUAACUCUGUGCCAGCCGCCGCAGUAA
rnacentral:rRNA from 1 species